rnacentral:sRNA from 1 species
AGCAGCCGCGGUAAUUCCAGCUCCAAUAGCGUAUAUUAAAGUUGUUGCAGUUAAAAAGCUCGUAGUUGAAUUUCGGGGUCAGCAGGUCGGUCGUGCCAAUGGUAUGCACUGGCCUUGCUGAUUCCUCCCUCUUGAUGAGCCGUAAUGCCAUUAAUUUGGUGUUGCGGGGAAUCAGGACUGUUACUUUGAAAAAAUUAGAGUGUUUAAAGCAGGCAAGCGCUUGAAUACAUUAGCAUGGAAUAAUGAAAUAGGACGUUCGAUCCUAUUUUGUUGGUUUCUAGGAUUGACGUAAUGAUUAAUAGGGAUAGUUGGGGGCAUUAGUAUUCAAUUGUCAGAGGUGAAAUUCUUGGAUUUAUUGAAGACUAACUACUGCGAAAGCAUUUGCCAAGGAUGUUUUCAUUAAUCAAGAACGAAAGUUAGGGGAUCGAAGACGAUCAGAUACCGUCGUAGUCUUAACCAUAAACUAUGCCGACUAGGGAUCGGAUGAUGUUAAUUUUUUAAUGACUCU